GAAAUGCGAUAAGUAAUGUGAAUUGCAGAAUUCAGUGAAUCAUCGAAUCUUUGAACGCACCUUGCGCUCCUUGGUAUUCCUUGGAGCAUGCCUGUUUGAGUAUCAUGAAAUCUUCAAAGUAAAUCUUUUGUUAACUCAAUUGGUUUCUACUUUGGUAUUGGAGGUCUUUGCAGCUUCACACCUGCUCCUCUUUGUUCAUUAGCUGGAUCUCAGUGUUAUGCUUGGUUCCACUCGGCGUGAUAAGUUAUCUAUCGCUGAGGACACUGUAAAAGGUGGCCAAGGUAAAUGCAGAUGAACCGCUUCUAAUAGUCCAUUGACUUGGACAAUACUUUUAUGAUCUGAUCUCAAAUCAGGUAGGACAACCCGCUGAACUUAAGC
rnacentral:misc_RNA from 1 species